rnacentral:rRNA from 1 species
CCAUGUUGAAACGUUGGUUCCCGUACGAUCACCGAAGUUAAGCAAUGUCGAACCUGGUCAGUACCUAGAUGGGUGACCGCUUGGGAAUACCAGAUGAUACA